rnacentral:rRNA from 1 species
UACGGAGGGGGCUAGCGUUGUUCGGAAUUACUGGGCGUAAAGCGCGCGUAGGCGGAUCUGCAAGUCGGGGGUGAAAUCCCGAGGCUCAACCUCGGAACUGCCUUUGAUACUGGGGAUCUUGAGUCCGGGAGAGGUGAGUGGAAUUGCGAGUGUAGAGGUGAAAUUCGUAGAUAUUCGCAAGAACACCAGUGGCGAAGGCGGCUCACUGGCCCGGUACUGACGCUGAGGUGCGAAAGCGUGGGGAGCAAACAGG